rnacentral:rRNA from 1 species
AUGGAGCUGGAGAGCAGCGCAGUGGGCGCGAUCGCGGAGGCUAGCCUCGACCGGGAGAAGCUGCCGGCGGCGCUGCUGCUGUGUGGCGUCCUCGAGGCAGCCGGGGCGCUGUGGCUGCUCGUCUAUCGGGGUCCUGGCGGCGUCUUCCUCCAUGGUGGCAAGGUGGCCUUCUGUUCCUACUACGCCAUUCUCGUUGUCCUGGUGCUCUUUGGGUGCGCGGAGGCGUGGGCUGGCCUCUGGGUGAACCAGCAUCCAUGCGGUCGGCGGGCAGUAGGGAGGACCGUCCUGUGGUGCUCCAUCCUGCCCCUCGUCCUCGUCGCGGGCCUCGGAGGUUUUGCGUCCGUCAUUCCCAAAUAG